rnacentral:rRNA from 1 species
UGCAGUCGAACGAGUUUAGUCGGCAGAACCGAGCGGAUAGCAAAGUAAAACUAUCUUCUGGAAUCUGUCUACUGAAUUAGUGGCGGACGGGUGAGUAAUGCGUGAACAACCUGCCCAACAGUGGGGGAUAACGUCUGGAAACAGGCGCUAAUACCGCAUAUUGAACAACUUCCGCAUGGAGAUUGUUUAAAAGAAGUAAUUCGCUGUUAGAUGGGCUCACGUCCGAUUAGCCAGUUGGUGGGGUAAUGGCCUACCAAAGCUAUGAUCGGUAGCCGGGCUGAGAGGCUAAACGGCCACAUUGGGACUGAGAUACGGCCCAGACUCCUACGGGAGGCAGCAGUGGGGGAUAUUGCACAAUGGGGGAAACCCUGAUGCAGCAACGCCGCGUGAGGGAUGAAGGUUUUCGGAUUGUAAACCUCUGUCCCUGGGGAAGAAAAAAAUGACGGUACCCGGGGAGGAAGCUCCGGCUAACUACGUGCCAGCAGCCGCGGUAAUACGUAGGGAGCAAGCGUUGUCCGGAUUUAUUGGGUGUAAAGGGUGCGUAGGCGGCAAGGCAAGUCAGACGUUUAAUCCAGAGGCUUAACCUCUUGGCUGCGUUUGAAACUGUUUUGCUUGAGUAAAGUAGAGGCAGAUGGAAUUUCCAGUGUAGCGGUGGAAUGCGUAGAUAUUGGAAGGAACACCGGUGGCGAAGGCGAUCUGCUGGGCUUUUACUGACGCUGAGGCACGAAAGCAUGGGGAGCAAACAGGAUUAGAUACCCUGGUAGUCCAUGCUGUAAACGAUGAUUACUAGGUGUGGGGGGUCUGACCCCUUCCGUGCCGGAGUUAACACAAUAAGUAAUCCACCUGGGGAGUACGGUCGCAAGGCUGAAACUCAAAGGAAUUGACGGGGGCCCGCACAAGCAGUGGAGUAUGUGGUUUAAUUCGACGAUACGCGAAAAAUCUUACCAGGUCUUGACAUCCUACUAACGAAGCAGAGAUGCAUUAGGUGCCCUUCGGGGAAAGUAGAGACAGGUGGUGCAUGGUUGUCGUCAGCUCGUGUCGUGAGAUGUUGGGUUAAGUCCCGCAACGAGCGCAACCCCUACGGUUAGUUGCUACGCAAGAGCACUCUAGCCGAACUGCCGUUGACAAAACGGAGGAAGGUGGGGAUGACGUCAAAUCAUCAUGCCCUUUAUGACCUGGGCUACACACGUACUACAAUGGCCGUUAACAAAGGGUAGCCAAGGAGCGAUCCGGAGCUAAUCCCCAAAAGCGGUCUCAGUUCAGAUUGUAGGCUGAAACUCGCCUGCAUGAAGUCGGAAUUGCUAGUAAUCGCGAAUCAGAAUGUCGCGGUGAAUACGUUCCCGGGCCUUGUACACACCGCCCGUCACACCACGGAAGCCGGUAAUGCCCAAAGUCGGUAGCUUAACCUUCGGGGGAGCGC